rnacentral:rRNA from 1 species
UAAUGGCCUACCAAGGCUUUGACGUCUAGGCGGAUUGAGAGAUUGACCGCCAACACUGGGACUGAGACACUGCCCAGACUUCUACGGAAGGCUGCAGUCGAGAAUCUUUCGCAAUGGACGAAAGUCUGACGAAGCGACGCCGCGUGUGUGAUGAAGGCUCUAGGGUUGUAAAGCACUUUCGCUUGGGAAUAAGAGAAGUUGGCUAAUAUCCAACUGAUUUGAGCGUACCAGGUAAAGAAGCACCGGCUAACUCCGUGCCAGCAGCUGCGGUAAUACGGAGGGUGCUAGCGUUAAUCGGAUUUAUUGGGCGUAAAGGGCGUGUAGGCGGAAAGGAAAGUUAGAUGUUAAAUCUUGGGGCUCAACCCCAAGCCAGCAUCUAAUACUAUCUUUCUAGAGGGUAGAUGGAGAAAAGGGAAUUCCACGUGUAGCGGUGAAAUGCGUAGAUAUGUGGAAGAACACCAGUGGCGAAGGCGCUUUUCUAAUUUACACCUGACGCUAAGGCGCGAAAGCAAGGGGAGCAAACAGGAUUAGAUACCCUGGUAGUCCUUGCCGUAAACGAUGCAUACUUGA